UUCGAUAAGGGCAAACCCUGAGUAAUCAGGGGACGCAAAGUAAAGGGUCUUUAAACAUACAGGGAAGUAGUUUAAACAAGAUAGCCUUACUGCCGAAG
rfam:Candidatus Brocadia sinica JPN1 DNA, contig: brosiA.